rnacentral:rRNA from 1 species
AGUGAACGCUGGCGGUAGGCCUAACACAUGCCAGUCGAACGGCAGCACAGUAAGAGCUUGCUCUUACGGGUGGCGAGUGGCGGACGGGUGAGGAAUACAUCGGAAUCUACUUUUUCGUGGGGGAUAACGUAGGGAAACUUACGCUAAUACCGCAUACGACCUACGGGUGAAAGCAGGGGAUCUUCGGACCUUGCGCGAUUGAAUGAGCCGAUGUCGGAUUAGCUAGUUGGCGGGGUAAAGGCCCACCAAGGCGACGAUCCGUAGCUGGUCUGAGAGGAUGAUCAGCCACACUGGAACUGAGACACGGUCCAGACUCCUACGGGAGGCAGCAGUGGGGAAUAUUGGACAAUGGGCGCAAGCCUGACCCAGCCAUACCGCGUGGGUGAAGAAGGUCUUCGGGUUGUAAAGCCCUUUUGUUGGGAAAGAAAAGCAGCAGGUGAAUACCCCGCUGUUCUGACGGUACCCAAAGAAUAAGCACCGGCUAACUUCGUG